GCAAGGAGGUCACACCUGUUCCCAUGCCGAACACAGAAGUUAAGCUCCUUAGCGUCGAUGGUAGUCGAACUUACGUUCCGCUAGAGUAGAAC
rnacentral:rRNA from 1 species